rfam:Aggregatibacter actinomycetemcomitans D11S-1, complete genome.
GUGCGGUUAACAAAAAACAACGUUUUUUGAACGUUGGCUUUGCCAACGGCCCCGAAGGGGUGAAUAAACGAACAAGUGAGCUUAUAAAUAUAAAUAAAAGUU